rnacentral:lncRNA from 1 species
GUUCUAUAUUUGAUCUUCUACUUGGGUGAUUAUGUGUUCCAAUGUGGGCCCAACUUUUUGUUAAGUCUUCUCAUCUAUCCUAGGGUCAACAUUUUAGAGGUCCCAACUAAAGCCGAAGUGGCUCCAUGAGGUCGAUUGGCACCAGGACACCUUUAAAUUUGGAGGUCUCAAUCAGAGCCGAGGUGUCUCCAGUUGAUUGUUCUCAUCAGUUUGGAGGUCCCAACUUAGGUCGAGGUGUCUCCUUGUGGUCAGCUUUGGCCGAGCACAUAUUUAAAGGUCAUAGUUGGAGUGGGGUAUCUCUAAGAGAUUGGCCCUUCUCUGACCAAGUCAAUGGAGGUCCAAGCCAGAGCUUGGAUAUCCUCAGGUCGAUCCUCAUCUGAUCUUCAUUUUUAGAGGUCCAAACUAGUGCUCAAGUGUCCCCAAGUCAUCAAUGUGCUUCUAUGAAAUUCUUUCAAGGCCCCAGUCAGAGUUGGGGUGUCUCUAGGAGGUCGGUCCAAUUCUGACCUUAGUCAAUUUUUUUCUUAGUCAUUUUUCAACCUUUUUCACUUUUUUAGCAUGCUAAGAAAGGAUGAGGGUGGGAUAUGUUCGUGUUUCCCAUAAACAACACCAAUCUAUUGCUUUAAGGCUAUUCUAAAGCAUUGGAAAAAAACAAAAUUGGAACAGGAAAACACAAGAAAAGAAAUAAAUUAUAAGGAAAGCUGGAGGGGCAAAACCCUUCCUCUAGCACCAUUCUGUUGAUGCCAAAAUCUAGCCUGACUAUUGAUGAUCUAGAGGACAUUGUUCGAUCCAUAGAGAGACAUUGACCUAUGCACAAGUGUUGUC